rnacentral:rRNA from 1 species
CCUUUUGUAUAAUGGGUCAGCGACUUAUAUUCUGUAGCAAGGUUAACCGAAUAGGGGAGCCGAAGGGAAACCGAGUCUUAACUGGGCGUUAAGUUGCAGGGUAUAGACCCGAAACCCGGUGAUCUAGCCAUGGGCAGGUUGAAGGUUGGGUAACACUAACUGGAGGACCGAACCGACUAAUGUUGAAAAAUUAGCGGAUGACUUGUGGCUGGGGGUGAAAGGCCAAUCAAACCGGGAGAUAGCUGGUUCUCCCCGAAAGCUAUUUAGGUAGCGCCUCGUGAAUUCAUCUCCGGGGGUAGAGCACUGUUUCGGCAAGGGGGUCAUCCCGACUUACCAACCCGAUGCAAACUGCGAAUACCGGAGAAUGUUAUCACGGGAGACACACGGCGGGUGCUAACGUCCGUCGUGAAGAGGGAAACAACCCAGACCGCCAGCUAAGGUCCCAAAGUCAUGGUUAAGUGGGAAACGAUGUGGGAAGGCCCAGACAGCCAGGAUGUUGGCUUAGAAGCAGCCAUCAUUUAAAGAAAGCGUAAUAGCUCACUGGUCGAGUCGGCCUGCGCGGAAGAUGUAACGGGGCUAAACCAUGCACCGAAGCUGCGGCAGCGACACUAUGUGUUGUUGGGUAGGGGAGCGUUCUGUAAGCCUGUGAAGGUGUGCUGUGAGGCAUGCUGGAGGUAUCAGAAGUGCGAAUGCUGACAUAAGUAACGAUAAAGCGGGUGAAAAGCCCGCUCGCCGGAAGACCAAGGGUUCCUGUCCAACGUUAAUCGGGGCAGGGUGAGUCGACCCCUAAGGCGAGGCCGAAAGGCGUAGUCGAUGGGAAACAGGUUAAUAUUCCUGUACUUGGUGUUACUGCGAAGGGGGGACGGAGAAGGCUAUGUUGGCCGGGCGACGGUUGUCCCGGUUUAAGCGUGUAGGCUGGUUUUCCAGGCAAAUCCGGAAAAUCAAGGCUGAGGCGUGAUGACGAGGCACUACGGUGCUGAAGCAACAAAUGCCCUGCUUCCAGGAAAAG